UACGUAGGGUGCGAGCGUUGUCCGGAAUUAUUGGGCGUAAAGAGCUUGUAGGCGGUUUGUCGCGUCUGCUGUGAAAACCUAAGGCUCAACCUUGGGCUUGCAGUGGGUACGGGCAGACUAGAGUGCGGUAGGGGUGACUGGAAUUCCUGGUGUAGCGGUGGAAUGCGCAGAUAUCAGGAGGAACACCGAUGGCGAAGGCAGGUCACUGGGCCGAUACUGACGCUGAGGAGCGAAAGCGUGGGGAGCGAACAGG
rnacentral:rRNA from 1 species